rnacentral:rRNA from 1 species
UCCGUAGGUGGAUCAAUCAGUCAGAGGUGAAAUCCUGCAGCUUAACUGUAGAACUGCCUUUGAUACUGUUGAUCUUGAGUCAUUAUGAAGUGGUUAGAAUGUGUAGUGUAGCGGUGAAAUGCAUAGAUAUUACACAGAAUACCGAUUGCGAAGGCAGAUCACUAAUAAUGUACUGACACUGAGGGACGAAAGCGUGGGGAGCGAACAGGAUUAGAUACCCUGGUAGUCU